rnacentral:misc_RNA from 1 species
CCUCCUUUCUAAGGAUGAGUGAAAGUAAAAUUUCACUCUAAAUAAUACACAGGUAAUGUUGACCGUCCUCAUUUCUCUUCUUAAAGUAAUGUUUCCUUCUUGUAGGGCCGGUAGCUCAGUUGGUUAGAGCACACCCUUGAUAAGGGUGGGGUCGAAAGUUCGAGUCUUUCUCGGCCCACCAAACUUAACUGGGGGAUUAGCUCAGCUGGGAGAGCGCCUGAUUUGCAUUCAGGAGGUCAGCGGUUCGAUCCCGCUAUCCUCCACCAGGAAACAUUUAGUUAUAAAAACUGUAAAUAAAAAUAAUAAUUAAUAUCAAUAUCUAUAUCCGAACAUUAGUAAUGUUAUUAGCUAAUGUUCAAAAUAAAAAUUUGAUCACAACAUAGAUAAUUUUCUGUAAAAAGAAUUUUUUUCUGUGCAUAAAUCAAGCGUUUAAGGGCGUGUAGUGGAUGCCUGGGCACUGAAAGCCGAUGAAGGACGUGAUAUACUGCGAUAAGUUUCGGGGAGCUGUAUGUAAGUUUUGAUCC